UACGUAGGGUGCGGGCGUUAAUCGGAAUUACUGGGCGUAAAGCGUGCGCAGGCGGCCUCUUAAGUCAGAUGUGAAAUCCCCGGGCUUAACCUGGGAACUGCGUUUGAAACUGGGAGGCUUGAGUGUGGAAGAGGGGGGUGGAAUUCCAGGUGUAGCAGUGAAAUGCGUAGAGAUCUGGAGGAACACCGAUGGCGAAGGCAGCCCCCUGGGCUAACACUGACGCUCAUGCACGAAAGCGUGGGGAGCAAACAGG
rnacentral:rRNA from 1 species